UGCCAGCCGCCGCGGUAAUACGGAGGGGGUUAACGUUGUUCGGAAUUACUGGGCGUAAAGCGCACGUAGGCGGACUGGAAAGUUGGGGGUGAAAUCCCGGGGCUCAGCCUCGGGACUGCCUCCAAAACUAUCAGUCUAGAGUUCGAGAGAGGUGAGUGGAAUUCCAAGUGUAGAGGUGAAAUUCGUAGAUAUUUGGAGGAACACCAGUGGCGAAGGCGGCUCACUGGCUCGAUACUGACGCUGAUGUGCGAAAGUGUGGGGAGCAAACAGGAUUAGAUA
rnacentral:rRNA from 1 species